GGUUCAAAUUAUUAUGGGUUUAUGGGGGAUGCCUUGGCGUCAAAAGCCGAAGAAGGGCGUAGCAAGUCUGCGAUAAGCCUCGGUUUGCUGACUAGCAAGCUUAGCCGGGGAUACCCGAAUGGGAAAACCUGAUCAUAUGAUCAACCUUUUUAAGGUAGGUAAGCAGGAGAACUGAAACAUCUAAGUAUCCUGAGGAAAAUAAAUCAAACGAGAUUCCCUGAGUAGCGGCGAGCGAAAUGGGAUCAGCCUAAACCGUGUGGGAUUUAUCCUGUGCGGGGUUGUAGGGCACUUUAUAUAGAAGUUACAAAAUGACAUUUUAGUAGAAUAGAUUGGAAAGUCUAACCAUAGAGGGUGAAAGUCCCGUAAACGAAAAAAUGUCAUCUUCUAAAGUGUUCCUGAGUACGACGGGACACGUGAAAUCUUGUCGGAAUCUGGGGGGACCACCCUCCAAGGCUAAAUACUUUUGACGACCGAUAGUGAACUAGUACCGUGAGGGAAAGGUGAAAAGAACCCCGAGAGGGGAGUGAAAUAGAACUGAAACCAUAAACCUACAAACCGUGGGAGCUUGUAUUUAUAUGAGUGACCGCGUGCCUAUUGAAGAAUGAGCCAACGAGUUACUUGGUACGGCAAGAUUAAGAAGUUAAGCUUUGAAGUCGAAGCGAAAGCAAGUCUGAAUAGGGCGAAUUAGUCGUGUCAAGUAGACCCGAAACCGUGUGAGCUACCUAUGGCCAGGUUGAAGCGAGAGUAAAAUCUUGUGAAGGACCGAACCCGUGUACGCUGCAAAGUGCUGGGAUGAGCUGUGGGUAGAGGUAAAAUGCCAAACGAACACGGAGAUAGCUGGUUCUCUCCGAAAUGUAUUUAGGUACAGCGUUAUGUAAUACUUCAUGGAGGUAGAGCACUGGAUAGACUAGGGGGCGCAAGCUUACCAAACCUAACCAAACUCCGAAUACCAUGAAGGGUAUCAUAGCAGUGAGACUGUGGGGGAUAAGCUCCAUUGUCGAAAGGGAAACAGCCCAGAUCGCAAGUUAAGGUCCCAAAGUAUAUGCUAAGUGUUAAACGAAGUAGGGUCGCCCAGACAGCCAGGAGGUUGGCUUAGAAGCAGCCAUCCUUUAAAGAGUGCGUAAUAGCCCACUGGUCAAGGGGCCCCGCACGGAAAAUAAACGGGGCUAAGCAUAUCACCGAGACUGCGGGAUCUAUUUAUAGAUCGGUAGGAGAGUGUCGUUAAAGCAUUGAAGCUAAGCUGUAAGGCUUGGUGGAGUUUUAACAAGUAAGAAUGUUGGCAUGAGUAGCAAAAAUGCCGGUGAGAAUCCGGCAGGCCGUAAGUCUAAGGAUUCCUACGCAACGUUGAUCGGCGUAGGGUUAGUCGGUCCUAAGGCGUAUCCGAAAGGAAAAGUCGAUGGACAGCUGGUGAAUAUUCCAGCACCUAUAAUUAAUUGUUUGAGUCAAAGGGGUGACGCAGAAAGAUAAACAGAGCAUACGUAUUGGACAUCGUGUGUUUUUGCCUGUAGAUGAGUAGAGAAGGUUAAAAUAUUUUCUACGUUUGAAUUGAGGGGUGAGAAAACUAUGAGGUUCGCCUCGUAGAAUUCUGUCGACUCUAAACUGCCAAGAAAAGCCUCGUUGAUUAGAUUUUUCAUAGACCGUACCGCAAACCAACACAGGUAGACAGGGAUAAACGUCCCAAGGCCAUCGAGAGAACCAUCGUUAAGGAACUCGGCAAAUUGACCCCGUAACUUAGGGAGAAGGGGGACCUUUUGUGUAUAUGAGUUUACCUCAAAAAGCAUGAAAGGUAGCAUAAAAUAGGCUGAAGCGACUGUUUACCAAAAACACAGGUCCAUGCCAAAGCGAAAGCUGAUGUAUAUGGGCUGACGCCUGCCCAGUGCCGGUAGGUUAAGGAAAGUUGUGCAAGCAACUGACUGAAGCCCCGGUGAACGGCGGCCGUAACUAUAACGGUCCUAAGGUAGCGAAGUCCCUUGUCGGGUAAGUUCCGACCCGCACGAAUGGCGUAACGACUUCAGCACUGUCUCAACGAUGGACUCGGUGAAAUUGCAGGACCGGUAAAGAUGCCGGUUACGCGCAGCAGGACAAAAAGACCCCGUGGAGCUUUACUGCAACUUGGCAUUGGUUCGAGUUUUAAAAUGUGUAGGAUAGGCGGGAGACUUUGAACUCUAGGCGUUAGCCUAGGGGGAGUCGCCCUUGAAAUACCGCCCUUUUUAUGAUUUGGACCUAACACUUUUGGACAGUGUCUGGUGGGCAGUUUGACUGGGGCGGUCGCCUCCCAAAGAGUAACGGAG
rnacentral:rRNA from 1 species